rfam:Anaerolineae bacterium CG2_30_57_67 cg2_3.0_scaffold_46_c, whole genome shotgun sequence.
GCCCCCAUCGUCUAGUGGCCCAGGACGCAACCCUUUCAAGGUUAAGACCAGGAUUCGAAUUCCUGUGGGGGCA